UACAGAGGUCUCAAGCGUUGUUCGGAAUCACUGGGCGUAAAGGGUGCGUAGGCCGCACGGUAAGUCAGAGGUGAAAUCCCGGAGCUCAACUCCGGAAUGGCCUCCGAUACUGCCGUGCUCGAGGACUGGAGAGGAGUCUGGAAUUCACAGUGGAGCAGUGAAAUGCGUGGAUAUUGUGAGGAACACUAGUGGCGAAGGCGAGACUCUGGACGACUCCUGACACUGAGGCACGAAAGCUGGGGGAGCAAACAGG
rnacentral:rRNA from 1 species